GUCACCACACCAACUGCCCCUGCCCCAAAUCCCGGGCCCCCGGCGACAAAAAGGCGGGGUCUUCCUCUGGCUCUGGUCCCCGGCAACUCAAGCAACGAACAAGUGCUGCUUAGCUUUCCGCUACCACUAGCACUCAAGUGCUAGAAACUAAUCGGCGCGAGGAAAAGUCGUCCUCAAUCCUCAGCCCACUACUCCACUCUCACUUCCAGGGAAAACUAUCCAUCUCUUCUCUCUCGCUGUUUCAUUUCUUUCGAAAGCGAUUGUUACUCCUCUUAACUGCCGUUUCCGCUAUCAGUCUCACUCUCACGAGCUUCUUGCUUGUCCUUAGUUGAUCUCCUUGAAAUUCUGCAAGAAUCCGUGAGGUGUUUCAGGCAUCAGAUUUGCCUAUUUUUACUAUAUGCGGAUCUAUGUUUAUGUUGCUGAUGAGCAGAUUCUGAUAUUUAGUUUUGUGAACUGAAUCGCCUUGAAGCUAAAGCGGAAGACUUUUAAAGCAGAUGGGAGUAACUGCCGAGAUAUUUGAAAGUAAAAGGAUUAUUUCUGUGCGCAAGAUUUAUUUCAAAUCAUCUCUCUCUUCUGGGAUUUCUGAAGGAAAUGCGAGAAUCUGCCCAGCUGUCUCAGGUUUUGAAUGAUUUGAAGGAGGUUUGACUCAAGGUGAAUUAGAUGAAGCGAAGGUCUAACUCCCAGAAAUUUCCGUUGCAUCAUAGAUGGAAGAGAAAGUUAAUUAUUUUGCUUCUGGUUGGAUUGUGUUUGGGGACUGUGGCAUUAAUGGAGACUCAGUAUUCUCGAAUCAAGAAGCUGGCUAUAUCGUCACCGCCUUUUGUACAAAAGCCCAAAAUUGCGUUUCUAUUUAUAGCAAGAAAUCGCCUUCCUUUGGACAUUGUGUGGGAUGCCUUCUUUCAGGGUGAUAAGGAGAAUAAAUUUUCAAUCUAUGUGCACUCAAGGCCUGGUUUCCUGUUGAACAAGGCAACAACAAGAUCAGCAUACUUCUUGGGUCGCCAAGUGAACAAUAGCAUACAGGUGGAAUGGGGAGAGGCAAGUAUGAUUCAUGCAGAACGUGUUUUGCUUCAGAAUGCAUUAGAGGACCUACAUAAUGAGCGCUUUGUUUUUCUCUCAGACAGUUGCAUUCCUUUAUACAACUUCAGCUACACAUAUGAUUACAUAAUGUCUACCUCUACUAGCUUUGUGGAUAGUUUUGCUGAUACAAAAGAGGGGCGGUACAAUCCUAAAAUGCAUCCUGUAAUUCCUGUUGAAAACUGGAGAAAAGGAUCUCAGUGGGUUGUUCUGACAAGAAGGCAUGCAGAAGUCGUCGUGAAAGAUGACGUUGUUUUCCCUGUGUUCCAGUGGCAUUGCAAGAGGAAGUCAUUGCCCGAGUUUUGGCGAGAUCAUCCCCUUCCUGCAGAAGGAUGGAAGGAGCAUAACUGUAUACCUGAUGAGCAUUAUGUUCAGACUUUGCUUGCUCAAGAAGGCCUGGAAGGAGAAAUUACAAGAAGGUCAGUCACUCAUACCGAAUGGGAUCUUUCAUCUUCGAGAGACCGUGAACGGCGAGGUUGGCAUCCUGUGACUUACAAGUUAGCUGAUGCUACUCCACGCUAAUCCAAUCAAUUAAGGAUAUUGAUAAUAUCUAUUAUGAGACGGAGUACCGUAGAGAGUGGUGCACUAGCAAAGGGAAACCUGCUCCAUGCUUCCUUUUUGCAAGGAAGUUUACCCGGCCUGCUGCUCUACGGCUGCUUAACAUGACUGCACUCGGAGUCCAGGGUGGAGCCUCGAGUAACUCCAAGAAGAAAAUAUCAUCGAUCAGUUUUGAGUUCAAUACCAAGAAGAAAAAGUAGGCUUAGAACGAUGAAUAAUUUGUUACUCGUGAUAAGAAUAAAAUAAAAAUUGUGAGAGCUGUAAAUUAAGAGAUGGCAGUAGAAAAAGUUGAAUGUGCAAUGUGCUGAUGUAUAGUAGUACCAUGCAGCAAUUUCCACGCUUUCCGUAAUGAUAUUCAAUCUGUUUAUCGCCCUUCGGUUGCCGUGCCUUUCCAAUUUCCAUCCCGGCGGUCUGUUACUCCGUUAGUUACUGGUGGAACAAUGCAGAAGGACGACGGAGGGUAAAUGUGCCCCAUACAUGUAUCAUACAGAACAAAUCACCGGAACAAAUAAUGGGCCCGUGUGCCUUGCUGGUGAGCACAUCAACUGUUGUUGUACUUGUAUGUAUUCCGUUGGAAAGUUCUUCAUGCUAAGGCCGAGUCCAUCAGGUUACCUUGUAUUGCCGCCGUUAGUUGUUGCAAUCAGUUAAUGGGUAAAUUCCUGACAAAACCUGAAUCAGUAGGCUCCUGGUAUGGUUCUCAUACAACUUGCUCUGAUGGCUUACAUCGAGUGCAGGCGAUGCUAUCUGUCAGUUUUUCCUCAUAUUUAUAUUACAUUGGUCGUGUUUUUUCUGUAACGAAUGUGGAAUAAAUGAACAAUCUUUUCGUCACA